rnacentral:tRNA from 1 species
GCGGGUGUGGCGGAACUGGCAGACGCACUAGGUUCAGGGUCUAGCGGGAAACCGUGGGGGUUCGAAUCCCUUCACCCGCA